rnacentral:rRNA from 1 species
UACAGAGGUCUCAAGCGUUGUUCGGAUUCAUUGGGCGUAAAGGGUGCGUAGGCGGCGCGGUAAGUCGGGUGUGAAAUCUUGGAGCUUAACUCCGAAACUGCAUUCGAUACUGCCGUGCUUGAGGACUGGAGAGGAGACUGGAAUUUACGGUGUAGCGGUGAAAUGCGUAGAUAUCGUAAGGAAGACCAGUGGCGAAGGCGGGGUCUCUGGACAGUUCCUGACGCCGAGGCACGAAGGCCAGGGGGAGCAAAACGGGG